UGCUGGAGGUAUCAGAAGUGCGAAUGCUGACAUAAGUAACGAUAAAGCGGGUGAAAAGCCCGCUCGCCGGAAGACCAAGGGUUCCUGUCCAACGUUAAUCGGGGCAGGGUGAGUCGACCCCUAAGGCGAGGCCGAAAGGCGUAGUCGAUGGGAAACAGGUUAAUAUUCCUGUACUUGGUGUUACUGCGAAGGGGGGACGGAGAAGGCUAUGUUAGCCGGGCGACGGUUGUCCCGGUUUAAGCAUGUAGGCUGGUUGUCCAGGCAAAUCCGGAUAAUCAAGGCUGAGGUGUGAUGACGAGGCACUACGGUGCUGAAGUAACAAAUGCCCUGCUUCCAGGAAAAGCCUCUAAGCAUCAGGUAACAUCAAAUCGUACCCCAAACCGACACAGGUGGUCAGGUAGAGAAUACCAAGGCGCUUGAGAGAACUCGGGUGAAGGAACUAGGCAAAAUGGUGCCGUAACUUCGGGAGAAGGCACGCUGGUGUGUAGGUGAAGUCCCUGCGGAUGGAGCUGAGACCAGUCGAAGAUACCAGCUGGCUGCAACUGUUUAUUAAAAACACAGCACUGUGCAAACACGAAAGUGGACGUAUACGGUGUGACGCCUGCCCGGUGCCGGAAGGUUAAUUGAUGGGGUUAUCCGUAAGGAGAAGCUCUUGAUCGAAGCCCCGGUAAACGGCGGCCGUAACUAUAACGGUCCUAAGGUAGCGAAAUUCCUUGUCGGGUAAGUUCCGACCUGCACGAAUGGCGUAAUGAUGGCCAGGCUGUCUCCACCCGAGACUCAGUGAAAUUGAACUCGCUGUGAAGAUGCAGUGUACCCGCGGCAAGACGGAAAGACCCCGUGAACCUUUACUAUAGCUUGACACUGAACAUUGAGCCUUGAUGUGUAGGAUAGGUGGGAGGCUUUGAAGCGUGGACGCCAGUCUGCGUGGAGCCAACCUUGAAAUACCACCCUUUAAUGUUUGAUGUUCUAACGUUGGCCCCUUACCGGGGUUGCGGACAGUGUCUGGUGGGUAGUUUGACUGGGGCGGUCUCCUCCCAAAGCGUAACGGAGGAGCACGAAGGUUAGCUAAUCCUGGUCGGACAUCAGGAGGUUAGUGCAAUGGCAUAAGCUAGCUUGACUGCGAGCGUGACGGCGCGAGCAGGUGCGAAAGCAGGUCAUAGUGAUCCGGUGGUUCUGAAUGGAAGGGCCAUCGCUCAACGGAUAAAAGGUACUCCGGGGAUAACAGGCUGAUACCGCCCAAGAGUUCAUAUCGACGGCGGUGUUUGGCACCUCGAUGUCGGCUCAUCACAUCCUGGGGCUGAAGUAGGUCCCAAGGGUAUGGCUGUUCGCCAUUUAAAGUGGUACGCGAGCUGGGUUUAGAACGUCGUGAGACAGUUCGGUCCCUAUCUGCCGUGGGCGCUGGAGAAUUGAGGGGGGCUGCUCCUAGUACGAGAGGACCGGAGUGGACGCAUCACUGGUGUUCGGGUUGUCAUGCCAAUGGCACUGCCCGGUAGCUAAAUGCGGAAGAGAUAAGUGCUGAAAGCAUCUAAGCACGAAACUUGCCCCGAGAUGAGUUCUCCCUGAGACUUUAAGUCUCCUGAAGGAACGUUGAAGACGACGACGUUGAUAGGCCGGGUGUGUAAGCGCAGCGAUGCGUUGAGCAACCGGUACUAAUGAAACCGUGAGGCUUAACCUU
rnacentral:rRNA from 1 species